rnacentral:rRNA from 1 species
AUGGUGUUGCUUGACAUUAGGGGUAUGUUGCAGUCUAUGGGUAAAGACAUUAUUGAUUUCGCUCUUCCAACAAUCGAUGAUGCAUUUGACCCAACCGAGGGCGAGGCCAGAGAGAUCAUCGAGGAAUCAACUAUUGAGUUUGACGAAAGUGACACUAAAUUGUCAUCUUCCCUGAAUUUUGAGCAAAGGGCUGCAUACGACGAGAUACUAGCGGCUGUUGAACGCGGUGAUUGGGGUAUAUUCUUUGUUGAUGGCCCUGGAGGUACGGGGAAGACCUUCCUAUACAGGGCGAUGCUCACCAAGGUGAGGGGCGAGGGCAAGAUUGCUAUCGCUAACGCGACGUCGGGCGUCGCUGCUUCUAUCAUGCCUGGCGGCAGGACUGCCCACUCGAGGUUCAAAAUCCCAUUGAGUUGCGAUGAUGGAGCCUCGUGCAGCUUCACCAAGUAG